rnacentral:rRNA from 1 species
AGGAGUGGCGAACGGGUGAGUAACACGUGGGUAACCUGCCCAUCAGAAGGGGAUAACACUUGGAAACAGGUGCUAAUACCGUAUAACAAUCGAAACCGCAUGGUUUCGGUUUGAAAGGCGCUUUUGCGUCACUGAUGGAUGGACCCGCGGUGCAUUAGCUAGUUGGUGAGGUAACGGCUCACCAAGGCAACGAUGCAUAGCCGACCUGAGAGGGUGAUCGGCCACAUUGGGACUGAGACACGGCCCAAACUCCUACGGGAGGCAGCAGUAGGGAAUCUUCGGCAAUGGACGCAAGUCUGACCGAGCAACGCCGCGUGAGUGAAGAAGGUUUUCGGAUCGUAAAACUCUGUUGUUAGAGAAGAACAAGGAUGAGAGUAGAAUGUUCAUCCCUUGACGGUAUCUAACCAGAAAGCCACGGCUAACUACGUGCCAGCAGCCGCGGUAAUACGUAGGUGGCAAGCGUUGUCCGGAUUUAUUGGGCGUAAAGCGAGCGCAGGCGGUUUCUUAAGUCUGAUGUGAAAGCCCCCGGCUCAACCGGGGAGGGUCAUUGGAA